rnacentral:lncRNA from 7 species
GCUGGAAUCCGGCCUUGUGAAAUCUUCAUCUGUGAGGAGCACAGAAUGGGACCCUAGUUGUAAACCAUCUGAAUUAAUUCCAGUUUACAGAAUAUAAUAGAGAAGACGGCUUGUAGUGGAAAUGCUACAAGCCUGAAAAGUGAUUUAGCAGCUGGUGGGAAGACAGGAAUAACUCAGUGGAGCUGAGGUGCUUGCAGUGUACCUGACUGACCAGAAGGUCCCAGCUUCACCUCUUCCCAGACCUCAUUUAAGGGUUGGCAGUGAAGACAAAGGUAUCUUGCUGGUGAUCCCUGCCUACCUGAGACCUUCCAAGGGUAAGCGGGUUUAAUGGGAGGUGACUUGCUUCUAGAACAUAAAGUGGAAGCUCCAUUCCCUCAGAAGAAGAAAACACAUUCCUUCUGGCUUGGAAGAUGGAAUUUCAUCUCAGUACCCAGGCUAAUUAAUAGAGUCAUUAUUUCUCAGCUCAUGUCUACUCCUGACUGCACUGUAAAUUGGUGGUGAUCUGGAAUGGAAGGGGAAAAUCUCUACAAGUAUACAUUAUAGUAUGCUGGCUGUCACUUCUUGCAUUCCUGCUGUAGAGUCAUCAUGUUUGCAACACUAGUCUGUAGCACCAGAAGUUUUUAUAUUACAUCACCAUUGUGAUUUCAGCACAGUGUUCAAUAAGUUGGAUGCAUUUUUCUCUAAUGAGAGCAUGUCAAGGAUAAUAACAAAGAAUGAGUUGGAAGUAGAUUUUCUGAAACAGUGAAAAUACUUGAGGCAUAGAAACCUAUGUGAAGGAGCCAUUUUCUGAGGGACUGAUAUGGUUUUGCGUUUACUCAAGGUUUUUAUAAAAGUGUUUACUGUGCUAUUUUAGUGGUGACAUCAUAUCUUGUGACAGUGGCAUGUCUUUGUAUUGCUAUAGCAAUAAUAUGAUAAAAUAUUGGCUUUCUUGGUCAUCUAGCACCAUCGCUGAUUCAUACUACUGUUCACUGAAUAAAG